CGUAGGUGGCAAGCGUUGUCCGGAAUUAUUGGGCGUAAAGCGCGCGCAGGCGGUUCCUUAAGUCUGAUGUGAAAGCCCCCGGCUCAACCGGGGAAGGUCAUUGGAAACUGGGGAACUUGAGUGCAGAAGAGAAGAGCGGAAUUCCACGUGUAGCGGUGAAAUGCGUAGAGAUGUGGAGGAACACCAGUGGCGAAGGCGGCUCUUUGGUCUGUAACUGACGCUGAGGCGCGAAAGCGUGGGGAGCAAACAGGAUUAGAUACCCUGGUAGUCCACGCCGUAAACGAUGAGUGCUAAGUGUUAGAGGGUUUCCGCCUUUAGUGCUGCAGCUAACGCAUUAAGCACUCCGCCUGGGGAGUACGGCCGCAAGGCUG
rnacentral:rRNA from 1 species